ACUGCGAAGCAAUAUGUCGGACUCCACAAGCGCCUCCUGUAACGAGGGAUACACAGGAAAGCUCUAUACGUAGAAAACCAACUGAUGACAUGACUUCCACGGCUGCCCGGAAUGCUUCCUGUUUUCCUCAACCGUUUCUGUAAAGUCAGUGAGAAACUGCAUCGUGAAAUACAAAAUGUCUGUUUCAGAAGUGCACAAUAAAAUAAUUCAUGUUUAUUUCA